GUGCUCACUUUAGCAGCAUAUAUAUGAAAAUCAAAAUGAUGACCAAGAUAAUUAGCAUAGACCCUGAGCAAAGAUGACAAUCAUAUUCAUGAGGCACUCCACUUUUUU
ensembl:snRNA U6 U6 spliceosomal RNA